ensembl:lncRNA
UAGAGUCGGGAGUCUACCAGCCAUUGUUCCUUGAACAAAAGAAGGAACACUAAAACACAGAAAGGCGUGAAGGCCACAACAAAAAAGAGCUUAGGGGUUCUUAACCAAUCAAAUGGUGUGAGGAUGUUUCAUAGGUUAAGGAUGAAAAAGAGACCUUGGAUCUGCAAUUUGGAAAUCACUGGUGAUAUUUGCCCAUGAAAUGUCAGCUGAAAAUACAUGAAGAAGGGGUUUUAUAAACUCUAAAAGGAAUUUAAAUGAUUUCAGGUUUUGAAUGGGAGGAGAAGAUGUAAUGUAUAGCCACAGAUUUGAAUGUGAAAUACGUUAGUUGGAACAAUGAUAUAUGAUAUAUGAGAAAAAUAGAGACAGGGAGAGGUUUUGUGGGAGUGGAACUAAGGAGUAAGGAGAUGUCUUGAGAAGAGAAAAGGCAUGUGCCAGAAUUCAUUUCAGCAUGUUUGUUCAAGAAAACCCUAUUGCACACAAAGUAAAAUAUCUCCAAAUCAAAUAAAGCCCAUCAUUGGAAAUAAGUAUGUAGGUUCUGGUGAAUGUGAAUUUUUCUUUCUGGGUACCUGGCUAUAUGAAAAAUGAGGAUACAGCACAAUAAUAUCAUGGUGAAAUUUACGGGGUCAGAAUGUAAUACAGGAAGAGAAUUAGCUUGUAAUGUAUAUGUUGUCCUCACUGUGAUCGGUAAGAGAAGUGAGGGUUCUGAAAUGAUAAGAGGUUUAUAUCCUAGGUAAAUAUUUCAGGAGGAAUAGCCAGCACUUUCUGAAAGUUUACCACGUGCCACACUUUGUUAAAUCCCUCCUCUGUCUCAUUUUCUAUGGCCUUCAGAGCAUCCUUUGACUGAUUACUCUUCUCAAGCCUAUGAACAGAUGAAGAAAUUGAUGCUGACAGGCAGAUUCUUAACUGACGGAGCUACGAGGGAAGCCCACAAGUGCAUGAGGAGUGAUCAUAAACUGAAGCCUUGGGCAUGGAAUAGGGAGGAAUCAUAUAAUCGCCUUCUUCACCUGAAUUCUUCAUCCAGAGAUUUUCCAGAGAUUGACAGCUACCUCACACAGGAUCUUUAAAACCAGAGCCAAAAAAAAAAACAAAAAACAAAAAACAAACAAACCUCACAGAUCAGAGGGACAAUUACACAUAUUUGUUAGAAAAAAUACACACUUGUGUGAGAGCUUACAGUCUCAGAUGUCUCAGGGAAAUUUUAAUUAUCAUUCAAUUUAUUAACUUCACAGUUCAAUUCAGCAUGAAAAACCCUGUGGGAGAGUUAUACUACAAAAUGGCACAUUUUCUAUGCACAAAAUUUGAUUACAACUGUGUCUGUCUCUGAGGUCCAUGAGCAAAGCUAUCUCCAUUUGGAAAGACAUACUCCAGCUUCAAAAACAAAAGGAAAAAUGCUGACGAACUUCUCAAGGACUCCUUUGAAUGCCUCUGAAGGGAAGAAAUGACGGGUUUUGGUACAGCGGGACUUUAUAAACCAUACAAAAUAGUUCAAGUUGAAACAAUACACACACUUAACACACAUAAGCGCGUGCAUACAUACAUGCACAAACACUACGCAUGACCUGAGCUGAUUUNNNNNNNNNNNNNNNNNNNNNNNNNNNNNNNNNNNNNNNNNAAGUAGAUGCUCUCUAUUCACCUUUGCAAUUAAAGACAAAAAUAAUAAGUGGAAACAUCUACCUUUUUAAAAAUAUGAAUCUUUCCGCCUUAUCCUUCCUCAAUUGCUCUAUUUGUCUAUUUCAAGUUACCUGGGGAGUGUCAAGUACAUAACAGAAGCUAAUUCAGGACAGGGGCUCCAUUGAGACAUGUGGAAUGUUCAAAACUAAGAACAUUAUCACAGGUCACACAAGACAGCAAAGAUGCUAG